rnacentral:rRNA from 1 species
UAGGGAAUCUUCCGCAAUGGGCGAAAGCUUGACGGAGCAACGCCGCGUGAGUGAUGAAGGUCUUCGGAUCGUAAAACUCUGUUAUUAGGGAAGAACAAAUGUGUAAGUAACUAUGCACGUCUUGACGGUACCUAAUCAGAAAGCCACGGCUAUCUACGUGCCAGCAGCCGCGGUAAUACGUAGGUGGCAAGCGUUAUCCGGAAUUAUUGGGCGUAAAGCGCGCGUAGGCGGUUUUUUAAGUCUGAUGUGAAAGCCCACGGCUCAACCGUGGAGGGUCAUUGGAAACUGGAAAACUUGAGUGCAGAAGAGGAAAGUGGAAUUCCAUGUGUAGCGGUGAAAUGCGCAGAGAUAUGGAGGAACACCAGUGGCGAAGGCGACUUUCUGGUCUGUAACUGACGCUGAUGUGCGAAAGCGUGGGGAUCAAACAGG